UCUACGGGCGGCAGCAGUGAGGAAUAUUGGUCAAUGGGCGCGAGCCUGAACCAGCCAAGUAGCGUGAAGGAUGACUGCCCUACGGGUUGUAAACUUCUUUUAUAAAGGAAUAAAGUGAGGCACGUGUGCCUUUUUGUAUGUACUUUAUGAAUAAGGAUCGGCUAACUCCGUGCCAGCAGCCGCGGUAAUACGGAGGAUCCGAGCGUUAUCCGGAUUUAUUGGGUUUAAAGGGAGCGUAGAUGGGUUGUUAAGUCAGUUGUGAAAGUUUGCGGCUCAACCGUAAAAUUGCAAUUGAUACUGGCAGCCUGGAGUACAGUUGAGGUAGGCGGAAUUCGUGGUGUAGCGGUGAAAUGCUUAGAUAUCACGAAGAACUCCGAUUGCGAAGGCAGCUUACUAAACUGCCACUGACAUUGAUGCUCGAAAGUGUGGGUAUCAAACAGGAUUAGAUACCCGAGUAGUC
rnacentral:rRNA from 1 species